CACAGCUGUUUGCCCUGGGAGGAAGAGGACGCGACAGGGCAAAGGGAGGCGUGCGGGCUGUUUACCUGCUCUUUUCCUUGGGCCUCUGGGGUACAGAAUAGGGUGUUUGUAAGUCUACUGCCUGCUCCUUAGACCGUACUGGUUUAGAGCUUGCGUUUUCCUGCUCGUGGGGUGGAGUGCAUUCCUGACGUCCCAGGGCUUUUAACUCUUUGAGGAAGGUGGGAUGAGGGACUUUGGGGAGGGGCGUGACGUACGUGCUGUAAAAUAGAGCAGAACUUGCCGUAGGGGGAGGAUGGCCAGGUCUUCCCAGUGUGAGCUGAGCUGAUCUCCGAGGUACCGUCCUGGACCUGCCUCUGCCGCUGUCCUCUGUCUGUGGCCCCUUCCAGUACUCUGGUGGCUGAGACAUGGUCAAGCAGAUGCCCCUGCAGGAAGGAGCCCGAAUCAGGAGGUCCGGAUGCUUUUCUUUCUUCAUCAUUGAGGCUGAAAGAUUCUUCAUGGUUGGUGUACAAGCAAAAAGAAGAAAAUCAUGUCAAGUUCUUUAUCUGAGUCAAAUAUUCAUAUCCUUUCUGGUGGAGGCCACAGAUAUGGAACCCACUCAUUCAGAGGGCCAACUACCAUUGAGCCUUCAGUCUGUCCAGAAAGGAGCUGGGAAGUUGAGGAUGAAGCCAUCAGCUGGUGUAAUGUCUGGGAAAGGCUUGAUCUCUGCUUCAGGAUGAUGCCUUGUUUCUCUGUCCUCACAUGGAACAAAGUAGGAGGACAAAGAAGUUGUGUCCCCCAUUGGAAAAGGGACAAGAAGACCAAAAAAGACUAAGAGAUCCCAUUUAAUGUCUUUUAUAAGAGCAUUAAUUCCAUGCACAAAGGCAAAGGCCUCAAGGCCUAAUCAUGUCCCAAGGGACCCACCUCUUAAUAUCAUCCACUUGGGGGAGCUGAAUUCCUAUAGAUGCAUUUUGGAAGAACACAGCCAUGCCAACUCCAGUACCUAACAACAUACAAGAAUGAGGAGAGUGGUUCUAAUUUCUGAUUUCCACUAGUUGAUAUAAAUGUGAAGGAUUCCUUAACUAUGAGAAAGGAGAGAAAUAGAUUCAGAAGGAUAAAGCCC
rnacentral:lncRNA from 1 species